rnacentral:rRNA from 1 species
GACGAACGCUGGCGGCGUGCCUAAUACAUGCAAGUAGGACGCAGUUGCAAACGGGUGAGUAACGCGUAGGUACCUACAUAUUAGAGGGGGAUAACUACUGGAAACGAUAGCUAAUACCGGAUACUAGUAGAUGGACCUGCGUUGUAUUAGCUAGUAGGUCGGGUAAUGGCCUAACUAGGGAACGAUACAGAGCCGAGCUUGGGAGGGGAGCGGACACACUUGGACUGGGACACGGCCCAGACUCCUACGGUAGGGAGCAGUAGGGAAUCUUCGGCAAUGGGGGGAACCCUGACCGAGCAACGCCGCGUGAGUGAAGAAGGUUUUCGGAUCGUAAAGCUCUGUUGUUAAGGAAGCGGUACUUAACCAGAAAGGGACGGCUAACUACGUGCCAGCAGCCGCGGUAAUAC